rnacentral:lncRNA from 1 species
CGACCAUACAUUAAUUAUAUAUGAAAAGAAAUAUCAUUGUUUAGAACAGUUACCAUAGUGAUUUAUACAUGUAAAUAAAACACUUUUGAAUCAACACUGAUAUAGGCAAACGAACACGUUCAUUUGGUGUGCCAUUUCUACUAACAACUGGUGAGGUAUGUAGAUUAAAAAUUUCUGCAUUUAUCAAAAACAGUUUCGCUGCAUAUUGUUUUUGAUUGACAUGAUUGAUGUUAUAUUUUAAAUCGCAAUUAUCAAAAUUUGAUUAAUUAAGUUUUCUAAAUUUAAAUAUCAAUGAAGGUAUUUAUGCUGAAAAACUCGACAUACCUUUAACUGCAAUUAAGGAUCAAUGGUUCGCGUAAGUUUUGUAGUAUAAGCACAGACAUUUAUAAUCUGAGUUUUUCAGCUAAACAUUUUAAUUACGUUGUUUUCUUAACGGAAUAUUAAGCUUCUCAAUGAUCAAAAUUAGUGUUUGUCAAACUGCUAUACAACAGUGUAUUUUUUCUGAUAAAUUGGUUGGUUCAAAUUUUUUGAAAUUUUUAUAUUUUUGUCAAAGGGUCAAAGUAAGUAUUCUAUAAAAAAAAUUAUGAAAACUAAACGAACAAAAUUAAUUUUAGUCAAGAUGUUGGGUACCACCUUAAUACAUUUUUCAUAAUAACAAAAACUUUUGAUAAUGGUUUUAAAAACAAUCCAAGUCCUUAAGCUUUUAUUUUAGUACAGGCAAUUAAUUAAUCUUCAUCUUUAGAUAGGUACUCACCUUAGUAAAUUUACAGUUAAACAGUAUUAAAUAUAGCUAGGUUCAUUAAGUCUGCAUUUGAACAGACACGACAGUUUAUAUCAGUGAUACUUUGGAAAUAGUUUAUUAAUUUUUAACACAAUCAAUACAUUACUUAUAUUCCUUUUGAAAAUUAAAAUAACACGUGAUAUUUAUACGGUAUUUAUACGUGUAAACAAAAUGUGAAACGAAAGAAAAAACCGUCUUAAAAUAUUGCAAAUUUAGGUAAAUGAUCAAAAAUUAAAUAUUUUAUGAGUGUAGUAUCCGUAAAAAAUUGCCUGACGUAUCAUAUGUGACAGCUUAAAUAAUUUUAAAAUGUUUAAGUAUACAAUAGUUACCAAAGGUACCAGGCUUAUAAUUUAAGACGCCAUACACACGUUUCUUUUACGUAAGACUCUUAAGCGACGGUAAGAUCAACAUAGUCAGAAAGCUAAACAAGUAUAAAGUUUAAGAGCAUUGAGGACCCAAACUUCCAAAAAAGUUGUGCCAAAUACGGCUAAGGUAAUCUAUUCCUGGAUAAGAACAUCCUCAAUAUUUUGUAUCAUUAAUACUUUUGCAAACAGUUUUAUGAAAAUGACCAUCCUGUUUAUAUUCAUGUCAACACCGAAGUGCUACAAAAUUUCCCAAAGGAAUAUUUUCAUGUCCCGUUGAAAUAGUGUUUUUUAAAACUUAUCUAUGUUGUAUUAACAUAAUGUUAGUUAAAUGAACACAAAUACCUUCACCAUAACACUCAAUACACUAAUCAUAUCUUUGUUAAAAGAUCUACGAAUUGGAUAUUUUUUUCCAGCUGUUAUCGGGUAUUCUGAGAAUUUUCCCCCUAAACAACAACGAUAAGCCGACAUUCUUUUCAUUAAUCAAAAUAAUUUUUCGUAUGUGACUUAUUAAAAAGUUAUCAAAGGUACCAGGAUUAUAAUUCAAUACUCCAGCAUUAAAGUUAUACAUACAAUGAACAAUGAUAAUGCAGGUAUCUAUUUUUAAGAAAACGUUAGGUGAAUAUCCUAAUACAGAGUUAUGCAUUCGGAAAUUAAGAUUAAGAAAGGAAAUGGGGAAUUUAUCAAAGCCACAACAACCCAACCAUUGAACAGACAACAAUUGUCUUCUUUCUCAAAGUUUGAACGAAAUCAAAAUGUAUGACAGAUUAAUAGAUUUAGUUUGGUUUUAAAUGUCUUAUAAUACAUAAGCUUUAAAGAAGACAUACUGUCGUGUUAGUUGAAAUGGAACACAAUCUUAUACUGAACUAUUGUGUAUUAUUAAAACUUGAUUACGUAAGUCUUUAAAUGUUUGUUUAAAACAUCACAUAACGCUUGAAACCAAUAACAAACGGAUUCAUAACUUAAAUGCUUUUGUUUAGUAUAUAGUUUUAUAGGUUAUUUCAACCUAAACUGUCUAACCGACUUAACAAUAGGUAUGUUUUAUUCAAACUAGAAGGAACAUAGCUUAAAAAAUCGAUACGUAUGUUUUUAAAUAGACAGAAAGCGUGUACGAUAAAAGUAAUGAUUAAAAGAUUAUGCACUGCCAUGAAAUUAGUUAAAUAUACAAAAGAAGAUAUGGUAUGAUUGCGAAUGAGACAACAAUCCACAAGAAACAACAUGAAACACACAUUAACAAAUAAAGUUCAUAUAAGAUUUAUUGUUGCCAAUUGCAAACAUUAUCUUGAAAAUGAUUAAGCAAAUUUAUCUUUUUUUAAAUAGACAGAAAGCGUGUACGAUAAAAGUAAUGAUUAGAAGAUUAUGCACUGCCAUGAAAUUAGUUAAAUAUACAAAAGAAGAUAUGGUAUGAUUGCGAAUGAGACAACAAUCCACAAGAAACAACAUGAAACACACAUUAACAAAUAAAGUUCAUAUAAGAUUUAUUGUUGCCAAUUGCAAACAUUAUCUUUAAAAUGAUUAAGCAAAUCUAUCGAAAUUUAAUGGGAAUUAUUGGCUUUGACUUGGACAAUUACAUCCUGUGUGUAUGUGUUCAUUGCGUAGCGCAAUAAAUGAGAGAGACUCCGUUAUCCUUGAUUUGAUAUUCUAUAACGUCACAAAACCUAACAUAAAUUAACAUACCAGUUGCGCAAAAAGCCAAUACAUGUUUCUUCAUUGAGUCCAAAAUUUAACAAAAAUCAGUUUAGUUAUCAAUGAUGGCCUAUAAAAAGUAUAGUUAUUUUUGGUAAGACACCAGAGCUUUGUAUGGGUAUUUUUCUCUCUCAACUUAUAAAAUAAUAUCGAACUUUUGAUAACGAAAUUUGAAUAUCAUAAAAUAUAUGUGUUCAUGCCAAUACAAUAAUGAGUAACAAGCCACAAGUAGAGGUCUUAACGAAGUGUUAGAUAUAACAUUUACGUUACCAAUUUAUUGACUCAGAUGCGCAGAAAUUUAAGAAGCCAGAAUAUUUGAAAAUCAAAAACUUUUUAAACAAUGAAAAUCCGAAAUGAAAAGACAAUGACGGGAACGUCACCAAAAGGGGAUUUAAUCCUUGAAUUAAAAUUGCUACUUUUGUAUCCGUAUUUUUAAUUCAAGUGUGAUAGUACUGGUUACUCUGUUUUGGGUACCCUCUGGGAGCAGAGAUCGAGACUCGGUGGUAGAAUAACAUGAUAAUAAAUAACACUUCAAAUGAUUUGUCGUUAGCAUGUUCUGUUCAUUAUAUUUCUAUGAAACUAUCAAUACGUAGUACAUAUAUUACCUGCCUUCGGGUUAAGAGAAAUAACAACAUUGUGAUAAUCGUUGCAUUUCAUACAAGUUUUAAUGUCUAAUUUUCUUUCAACAAUGAUAUUCAAAUAGCUAUGAUGAAUUUUUUAUUACUUCAAUAUUAUACAAAUAUAUGUAUAUAGUGCAAAAAAGGAAAUCCUAAAAAUUGUGUUCCUUUGUCCGAUAUACCUGUAUGUACCAAUAACUAUUAGGUGUAUAUUACAUGAUCCUUUUGUAAUGCACUUUUGAAAAUGGCUUCAUACAAUUAAAAUGUCACAAUAUUGUGUAUUUAUAUAAUAUAAAUUGUAGGACUGACGUCUUCUGGAUUGUGCCGUGGACCCCUUAGUAUAAACAUGAAACUGUUACAGACUUGGUAUGGCAUGAAUUCGUUGCUUUACAUAAUUACUGC